GGGGAUUUAGCUCAGUGGUAGAGCGCUUACCUAGGAAGCACAAGGCCCUGGGUUCAGUCCCCAGCCCCG
rnacentral:tRNA from 1 species